rnacentral:rRNA from 1 species
AGUGAACGCUGGCGGUAGGCCUAACACAUGCAAGUCGAACGGCAGCACAGUAAGAGCUUGCUCUUACGGGUGGCGAGUGGCGGACGGGUGAGGAAUACAUCGGAAUCUACUUUUUCGUGGGGGAUAACGUAGGGAAACUUACGCUAAUACCGCAUACGACCUACGGGUGAAAGCAGGGGAUCUUCGGACCUUGCGCGAUUGAAUGAGCCGAUGUCGGAUUAGCUAGUUGGCGGGGUAAAGGCCCACCAAGGCGACGAUCCGUAGCUGGUCUGAGAGGAUGAUCAGCCACACUUGAACUGAGACACGGUCCAGACUCCUACGGGAGGCAGCAGUGGGGAAUAUUGGACAAUGGGCGCAAGCCUGAUCCAACCAUACCGCGUGGGUGAAGAAGGCCUUCGGGUUGUUAAACCCUUUUGUUGGGAAAGAAAAGCAGCAGGUUAAUACCCCGCUGUUCUGACGGUACCCAAAGAAUAAGCACCGGCUAACUUCGUG